rnacentral:rRNA from 1 species
GAUGAACGCUGGCGGCGUGCCUAAUACAUGCAAGUCGAGCGAACGGACGAGAAGCUUGCUUCUCUGAUGUUAGCGGCGGACGGGUGAGUAACACGUGGAUAACCUACCUAUAAGACUGGGAUAACUUCGGGAAACCGGAGCUAAUACCGGAUAAUAUUUUGAACCGCAUGGUUCAAAAGUGAAAGACGGUCUUGCUGUCACUUAUAGAUGGAUCCGCGCUGCAUUAGCUAGUUGGUAAGGUAACGGCUUACCAAGGCAACGAUGCAUAGCCGACCUGAGAGGGUGAUCGGCCACACUGGAACUGAGACACGGUCCAGACUCCUACGGGAGGCAGCAGUAGGGAAUCUUCCGCAAUGGGCGAAAGCCUGACGGAGCAACGCCGCGUGAGUGAUGAAGGUCUUCGGAUCGUAAAACUCUGUUAUUAGGGAAGAACAUAUGUGUAAGUAACUGUGCACAUCUUGACGGUACCUAAUCAGAAAGCCACGGCUAACUACGUGCCAGCAGCCGCGGUAAUACGUAGGUGGCAAGCGUUAUCCGGAAUUAUUGGGCGUAAAGCGCGCGUAGGCGGUUUUUUAAGUCUGAUGUGAAAGCCCACGGCUCAACCGUGGAGGGUCAUUGGAAACUGGAAAACUUGAGUGCAGAAGAGGAAAGUGGAAUUCCAUGUGUAGCGGUGAAAUGCGCAGAGAUAUGGAGGAACACCAGUGGCGAAGGCGACUUUCUGGUCUGUAACUGACGCUGAUGUGGCGAAAGCGUGGGGAUCAAACAGGAUUAGAUACCCUGGUAGUCCACGCCGUAAACGAUGAGUGCUAAGUGUUAGGGGGUUUCCGCCCCUUAGUGCUGCAGCUAACGCAUUAAGCACUCCGCCUGGGGAGUACGACCGCAAGGUUGAAACUCAAAGGAAUUGACGGGGACCCGCACAAGCGGUGGAGCAUGUGGUUUAAUUCGAAGCAACGCGAAGAACCUUACCAAAUCUUGACAUCCUUUGACAACUCUAGAGAUAGAGCCUUCCCCUUCGGGGGACAAAGUGACAGGUGGUGCAUGGUUGUCGUCAGCUCGUGUCGUGAGAUGUUGGGUUAAGUCCCGCAACGAGCGCAACCCUUAAGCUUAGUUGCCAUCAUUAAGUUGGGCACUCUAAGUUGACUGCCGGUGACAAACCGGAGGAAGGUGGGGAUGACGUCAAAUCAUCAUGCCCCUUAUGAUUUGGGCUACACACGUGCUACAAUGGACAAUACAAAGGGCAGCGAAACCGCGAGGUCAAGCAAAUCCCAUAAAGUUGUUCUCAGUUCGGAUUGUAGUCUGCAACUCGACUACAUGAAGCUGGAAUCGCUAGUAAUCGUAGAUCAGCAUGCUACGGUGAAUACGUUCCCGGGUCU